rnacentral:ncRNA from 1 species
UCCAAACGCCUAGUAGAUAAUAUUUUUUUAUUUUAACUACGUUUGCUCUUUUUUUUCCAACUUCAAUCAAAUAUUAUCUUUCGGAAAAGAAAGCAAAAGCGAUUCCCGUAGUAGUAGCGAGCGAAAUGAGAACAACCUAAACCGUAAAAAUGGGGUUAUGGGAGAGCAAUACAAGCAUCGUGUUGCUAAGGGAAGCACCUUGAAUGCCGCACUCUAGAUGAUGGAAGUCCAGUAGUCAAAAGCAUCACUAGCUUAUGCUUCGUCCAAAGCACGGGGCUUGAAUUCCCUUGUGAAUCAGCAAGGACCACUUUGUAAGGCUAAGUACUCCUCGGUGAUCGAUAGCAAAGUAGUACAGAAAGGGAAGGGUGAAAAGAAACCCAUCGUAGUG